UAACAAACAAAGCGUCGAAAAAAAGAGUAAAAAACACAAGGAACGUGCUCUUGACAACUACUUUCUCUCUCUGAUUCUCCUCUCGAUCUCUCUACGGUGAACCAAAUUGAUUACAAAUUAAUUAGCAUCAUCGCCAUCAGAAAAAUUGGUUACAAACGAGCAUACAUGCACUCUUCUCCCAACCUUUAAUUCUUUGGGUUUUUCUCUCUUUUAUAUUCUUUGUUAUGAAGUUACUCGCUCUGGGUUCCAUUGCCUUUCGUUCUUCUUCGUUUUCAUGGAACACCCAUUCCUCUGGUGCUAGUGAGAAAUCUGGAGAAGAAGGUUUUGGUGGUAAGACGGGGUUGGAGGGUGUUGUCUAUCUUAAUGGGGAAAGGUGACGAUGGACGCUGCAUUUUUUCUCUUACGAGUUUGCAAAUUGGAGACUUGCAAUCUUAUUUUGCAGAUCUUAGCCUUUUCCUCGCAAAUGAUAGCAAAAAAAUGUAUAUUUUGGUUGACAAUAGACCAUGGUUGAGUGACCUUGGUUCACGGGGCAUACACAUUUGGCAAUUAAUGGUUACUAAGUCAAGGCUAUCUCCCUUUGCAUAUUCCAAAGCCAGAAGAGAGAGAAACGAAGGCAAGGAAGUUUGUCCUCAAUCAAGCUCAAGCAAUCCAAAGAAACUUAUGAGAUGGUUCUCAUUGAUUGAAGCAGUGGUGUUAUCAAGGAAGAGAGUUUUGUUGCCUGUGAAAAACUUAAGGAAUUCUUUACAAUUGAGCAGUGAGCUGCAUAGAACCCUCUAUGGUUUUAUCAUAUUUGAAGUUGCAUGGUCUAGUGUUCGUGGUAUCAACUACUAUAAUGAGCUUCAGACGGAUACAUCACUGGCUAUAGAAGCUAAACUGAUGAAAAGAUGGGAAUUUGAUAGUAUUUCUCAAGCUGCGAAGUGCAUGUCUUCAUGGUUCUCAGGAACCCCGUCUGAACAGAUGCUUCUAAAAGAACACCUGGAUUCUGCCUCAGGUGGGGAAAUAUUUUAUGAUGCCAGUGAAGAUUUUUCUGGUCUUGUAUCUGUUGAUGAUGACAUCGAGGACAAUGACAAUGUCUGCAGAAAUGUCACUGUUGAAGAUAUGUUAGGUACCAAUGUUGCAGUAUAUUCUGAUGAUAUAGAAGACACAACAGAUAUGUUUCACACACCUCCUCCUUCUGGACCUUAUAAGAGACGAAAAUUAAUGAAUUCCUUUAGUGCUGGAGUUGAAGCUGAUAGCUACUCUGCAGGUGAAAUUGAUGACUCAUUGGAUUAUUCUCAGACCUCUAGCUGCUUUUCUGAUGAUACAGCUGAAGUCACUCAAGAUGAUUCAGUUGAAACUACUCAAGAUGAUGCAGAUAAAGCAACACAAUAUAGGGAUGUUCUACUAUUAUUUAGGUUUGAUGAUCACGACCUCCCAUUUAAAUUAAGGGAAGUCAUUAUAUCUGAUCUGCGAUUGCUUACUUUGUUGGAGGCUGGUCUUCCAUCUUGGGUCAUCUUCCUUCAGUCAUAUCCAGUGUUAUGCAAUCUUUAUCGUCCUUGGAUGUGCCCACUUGCAAGACUUUUAUAUGUGUUGAUAUCAUUUGUUACUGUUCUCAUUGGAUUCUAUGAUUUAUACAAAAAUGUUCCUGUUCUCAAGGCAACUGCAUCUCGUAUAUGUGGGCCUCUUUUUGAUUGGAUUGAAACUUGGGAGAUGGUUUCAAGGGUCAAAUACUUAGGGACAAUGCUGUUUCUACAUAACUUCCAAAAGGCUGUUAGGUGGUUUCUUGCCUUUUCACAUGCUACGAGGUCAUUCUUUUCAGUUCUUGUUCAACCUCUUGUAGAAUCACUGGUGGAGAUUUUUGGAUUUCUUCUCCCAAGCUUGAAGUUUUUGUUUGACAUAGCUGAAAGCAUCUUUUCUGUUAUUUGGCUAGUAGUUGAUACAUCUUUUGAUAUAGUGGGAAAUGUAUUGGAGCUACUGUUUUCACCUUUUUGGUUUGUCUUCAAUGUUGUUUGGAGCAUCGCUACAUGUAUCUUAUAUCCUUUAUUUUGGGUUCUCUGGGAAUUACUAUAUGCUCCUGUUCGUCUCAUCAUGAUGAUAUUCAGAUUUUUGCCCUCAACAUGUUUGUACAUUUUUAAUACACUUGGCAAGAUGUGGCAGUUUUUUAGUAGCAUCUUUCAGUUUGCAGCAACUUCUGAAGCUACAGUGACUGCCUCUGAAGUAUCCAUGUGGCGAACUCUUUGGAAUGAUCUCUUUUCCCAGAUUUUCCGUGCUCUCAAGAGCAUAGUCUAUGGGUUUGUUGCCUUCUUCACAGCCUGCAAUAGGCAUCGACUAAGGUUAUCAUGAGGGCGGUGAUUGCAGGUUAUCAUGAGGGCGGUGAUUGUAGGUUAUCAUCAGGGCAGUGAUUGCCGGUGAUCGUGAUGGUAGCAAGUGUCGGGAGUGCAAAGGUUGUGAUUGCCACUGAGUGCAAUGGUGGUGUUGACAAUGGUGAUCGUGAAGCUCGUACCUUAUGUGGGUCUUCUCCUUUGGUUCUGAAAUGCGAAACACAAUCCUUCCAGAAAAAUCACAACCACACGAUCCUUUGGUCCAACGAAUAUCCUUCUAUAAUUGUUGGAAGUUCCACAUCGACUAGAGAUAAGGCCAAUUUAUAAUAUUUAAGUGGGUGCAAACCUCACCUUACACGUCGAUUUUGUGGGGUUGAGUUAGGCUUAAAGUCCACUUCUUUACAUGGUAUCAGAGCUAUGUAAUAGCCUAUCCUAGCGAUAUUUGUUGUGUGUUGGACAUGUCGUUCUACCCAUUAUCGGGCCACUAUCGGACCACCCAUUAAUGUCUAGUAUCACGCUCGAGAUGAUGUCUAUACCUCGGCAUGAGGAGGGUGCGUUGGAAGUCUCAUAUCAACUAAAGAUAUAAUAUAUAACAUCUAUAAUCAUGUACAGGAGUUUAUCGGAAGACUAUAUCGUGCUUGCCAAAGAUCGCGGCAAGGUAACUCUGGAGAUCGUGGAAAAAAUGGUUUGACACUGAAGUUGGUGAGA